rnacentral:rRNA from 1 species
CAGUCGCCGCGGGAACACGUAGGGUGCGAGCGUUAAUCGGAAUUACUGGGCGUAAAGCGUGCGCAGGCGGUUAUGUAAGACAGUUGUGAAAUCCCCGGGCUCAACCUGGGAACUGCAUCUGUGACUGCAUAGCUAGAGUACGGUAGAGGGGGAUGGAAUUCCGCGUGUAGCAGUGAAAUGCGUAGAUGUGCGGAGGAACACCGAUGGCGAAGGCAAUCCCCUGGACCUGUACUGACGCUCAUGCACGAAAGCGUGGGGAGCGAACAGGAUUAGAUACCCCUGUAGUCCCUGUCUCUUAUAC